AACGAACGCUGGCGGCAGGCCUAACACAUGCAAGUCGAGCGGGCGCGAGCGAUUGCGUCAGCGGCGCACGGGUGAGUAACGCGUGGGAACCUGCCCUUUGGUUUGGAACAACCCUGGGAAACUAGGGCUGAUACCGGAUACGCCUCUGCGAGGAGGGAAAGAUUUAUCGCCGAAGGAGGGGCCCGCGUCCGAUUAGCUAGUUGGUGGGGUAACGGCCUACCAAGGCUGCGAUCGGUAGCCGGUCNGAGAGGACGAUCGGCCACACUGGGACUGAGACACGGCCCAGACUCCUACGGGAGGCAGCAGUGGGGGAAUAUUGGACAAUGGGCGCAAGCCUGAUCCAGCCAUGCCGCGUGGGUGAAGAAGGCC
rnacentral:rRNA from 1 species